UACAGAGGGGGCAAGCGUUGUUCGGAAUUACUGGGCGUAAAGGGCUCGUAGGUUGCCAACUAAGUUAGACGUGAAAUCCCUCGGCUUAACCGGGGAACUGCGUCUGAUACUGGAUGGCUUGAGUUCGGGAGAGGGAUGCGGAAUUCCAGGUGUAGCGGUGAAAUGCGUAGAUAUCUGGAGGAACACCGGUGGCGAAGGCGGCAUCCUGGACCGACACUGACACUGAGGAGCGAAAGCCAGGGGAGCAAACGGG
rnacentral:rRNA from 1 species